AAUCCGUCCGUUGCGAGAAUGUUUGUUGACCGGCGCGCCGCGGUGGUUAUAUUAUAAUUUGUAAUUAGUACGUCACCUCAGUAUUAAUACUAGUAGGUGGCCAAAUCAAUAUAUAAUCGUAAAGAACAAUCUCCUUUUGUUUACGAAAAUUACAGAGUUGUUAUCAAUAAUAUUAUGUUUGUGUUUUUAAAAACUAAUUUUACU